rnacentral:rRNA from 1 species
CCUACGGGAGGCAGCAGUGAGGAAUAUUGGUUAAUGGACGAGAGUCUGAACCAGCCAAGUAGCGUGAAGGAUGACUGCCCUAUGGGUUGUAAACUUCUUUUAUAUGGGAAUAAAACGUUCCACGUGUGGGAUUUUGUAUGUACCAUAUGAAUAAGGAUCGGCUAACUCCGUGCCAGCAGCCGCGGUAAUACGGAGGAUCCGAGCGUUAUCCGGAUUUAUUGGGUUUAAAGGGAGCGUAGGUGGAUUGUUAAGUCAGUUGUGAAAGUUUGCGGCUCAACCGUAAAAUUGCAGUUGAAACUGGCAGUCUUGAGUACAGUAGAGGUGGGCGGAAUUCGUGGUGUAGCGGUGAAAUGCUUAGAUAUCACGAAGAACUCCGAUUGCGAAGGCAGUUCACUGGACUGCAACUGACACUGAGGCUCGAAAGUGUGGGUAUCAAACAGGAUUAGAUACCCCUGUAGUC